rnacentral:tRNA from 2 species
GGGGUUUUAGCUCAGUUGGUAGAGCGCUGCGUUCGCAUCGCAGAGGUCAGGGGUUCGACUCCCCUAAGCUCCACCA